UUUAUGGAGAGUUUGAUCCUGGCUCAGGAUGAACGCUGGCGGCGUGCCUAAUACAUGCAAGUCGAGCGAACAGAUAAGGAGCUUGCUCCUUUGACGUUAGCGGCGGACGGGUGAGUAACACGUGGGUAACCUACCUAUAAGACUGGAAUAACUCCGGGAAACCGGGGCUAAUGCCGGAUAACAUUUAGAACCGCAUGGUUCUAAAGUGAAAGAUGGUUUUGCUAUCACUUAUAGAUGGACCCGCGCCGUAUUAGCUAGUUGGUAAGGUAAUGGCUUACCAAGGCAACGAUACGUAGCCGACCUGAGAGGGUGAUCGGCCACACUGGAACUGAGACACGGUCCAGACUCCUACGGGAGGCA
rnacentral:rRNA from 1 species